rnacentral:SRP_RNA from 1 species
CCGUGCUAGGUGGGGCGCUAGGGGUGCCCUCUGUCCGAAAUCCUCUUCAUGCGGAACUGAAUCCCCGCCUGAGGGUGCAACGAUGUCGGGUCAGCGCUGGUUCGGUCGAUGGUGAUAGCAGAGUCCCGUCACGGCGGAACGUCGUGAACCGGGUCAGAUCCGGAAGGAAGCAGCCCUAAGCGGGUCAGCUCCGGGUGUGGCGGGGUCGCUCUGAAGGAGUCGAUCGUCCAGAACACGCCGACAUCGGAAUACUCAAAGGCGGGGGGCACGG